rnacentral:misc_RNA from 1 species
GGAAAACCAGUAACAUCAAAUGUUAAGAACUCUGAGCUUCUGUACAAUGAAUACAUAGUCUACGAAGCUGCCCAAGUAAAGCUGCAGUUCUUAGUCAAAGUGAGGUUUAAUUUCAAGCGGUGAAGUAAUGAUUCAGACUUGUAAAUAUGUGUGUUUUGUAAAGAUAGUUUCACUCCUUAUCAGUGAAAACUGCUCUUUCUUACCCAUUGAGGUUAUCUUUUGUUGUGUAUGGGGAGGGCUAGAUCUCAUUUUGGGGGUUUUAGGAGGAGAUCGCUUCCUGAACAUGUAAAUUCCUCUUUGUAAGAGAUGAAAUCAUGUUUCUACUUUUCGACUAUGA